ACAAAAGAAGCAAUGGAAUCCCAGGGAGGGAUUUUCCAGGCUCUGUCUCUGACCUCUAAGGUGGAACUGUCUUGGUUUGAUGCCAGAUAAUGCUGCACUCUUCCUGUGCCUCCUUCAUCACAGCAGCCACUUGCUCUAGAAGGGCCUUCCAUCAUCCCAUCUCCAUCUCCAAAUGACGGGACAGACUGAGGGUUUGUAACAUCUUUCUAAGUAACCUCCCUCUAAGGGACAUGAGAAGUUAUCUAGUGCCAGUCUUUUGGAAGAAUUUUGAAAGGAAACUGUUAAACCAAUGGGCACUCCCGGCUACAUAUGUUUUGGGAAUAUUGGGAUUAUUCUCUCCACUGAUCUAGGGAAAUCUACCUACAGACUGGUCUUUCCCACCGGCAAAGAGUUAAAAGAUGGAGUGGUUUAAAGCCUAGGGCAGGAUAAGAUUUACCUGGUAACUGAUGAUGCUAGGCUGAAGCACUGAGCCAUUUGUCUCUACGUUUGUCUCCGCCUACUUCACCGAUCUGACAACUCUUAGUUUGAAACUCUGACUUAGAAGAGCUGGUAGGAACAGGUUUAGUAUCUAGGGGCUGGGUGACUCCAAAUCACUAAUUUAGUGGGGAUCGAGGAACCGGGGCAAUACUGUAUUCCGCGUAGGAUCUGGAGAUCAUCUAUCCAGGCUGGGGCUUCUGGAGCAGGCAAGGACCCAGGGCCCCUGGAAGAACUGGUCCAGGGGACUGAAUUCCCAGUGUGUUCCUAGAGCAGAGCAUGAACACACUCCUGCCGUUGCUGCUAGGCCUCAGCCUGGGCUCCACCAGAGCAGGUGGCUUUUUAGCCCAUGUGGAAAGCACCUGUCUGUUGGAUGAUGAUGGGACUCCAAAGGAUUUCACAUAUUGUGUCUCCUUCAACAAGGAUUUGCUGACCUGCUGGGAUCCUCAAACAUCCCAAAUGGCCCCUUGUGAAUUUGGGGUACUGAGUGUCUUGGCGAAUUACCUCUCAGAUUACCUCAACCAACAGGAAAGCCUACUCCAGCGCUUGUCUAAUGGGCUCCAGGACUGUGCCACACACACCCAGUCCUUCUGGGGAUCACUGACCCACAGGACACGGCCACCAACUGUGCAGGUAGCCAAAACCACUCCUUUUAACACGAAGGAGCGUGUGAUGCUGGCCUGCUACGUGUGGGGCUUCUAUCCAGCUGAUGUGAAUAUCUCAUGGAGGAAGAAUGGGCAGCCUGUCCUCCCUCACAGAAGUGCCCCUAAGAUGGCUCAGCCCAAUGGAGACUGGACGUAUCAGACCGUCUCUCAUUUAGCCACAACUCCCUCUUUCGGGGACACCUACACCUGCGUGGUGGAUCACAUCGGGGCUCUUGAGCCCAUCUGCGAGGACUGGAGGAAGAAAAAGCCGUGGCUGGCAGGCACUUUGGUUUACAUGCUUGGGGCCUAAUGAACAGGAACCAAUCGCCACUGGAUUGCAAGCCCAGGAUUGGAAGUAGUUAAAGCGCCUGGGCUGUCCCCGAUGCAGACACUGAAGGUUUCGGUGGCUGCAGUGACUCUGGGCCUGGGCCUCAUCAUUUUCUCUCUUGGUUUGCUCAGCUGGCGGAAAGCUAGCUCCUCUG